UACGUGGGUGACAAGCGUUGUCCGGAUUUACUGGGCGUAAAGAGCGCGCAGGCGGUCGUUCAAGUCGAGUGUGGAAGCCCCCGGCUCAACUGGGGAGGGUCAUUCGAUACUGAUCGACUCGAAGGCAGGAGAGGGUAGUGGAAUUCCCGGUGUAGUGGUGAAAUGCGUAGAUAUCGGGAGGAACACCAGUGGCGAAGGCGACUACCUGGCCUGUUCUUGACGCUGAGGCGCGAAAGCUAGGGGAGCAAACGGG
rnacentral:rRNA from 1 species